rnacentral:rRNA from 1 species
AGAGUUUGAUCCUGGCUCAGGACGAACGCUGGCGGCGCGCCUAACACAUGCAAGUCGAACGAGCGAGAGAGAGCUUGCUUUCUCGAGCGAGUGGCGAACGGGUGAGUAACGCGUGAGGAACCUGCCUCAAAGAGGGGGACAACAGUUGGAAACGACUGCUAAUACCGCAUAAGCCCACGGGUCGGCAUCGACCAGAGGGAAAAGGAGCAAUCCGCUUUGAGAUGGCCUCGCGUCCGAUUAGCUAGUUGGUGAGGUAACGGCCCACCAAGGCAACGAUCGGUAGCCGGACUGAGAGGUUGAACGGCCACAUUGGGACUGAGACACGGCCCAGACUCCUACGGGAGGCAGCAGUGGGGAAUAUUGCACAAUGGGGGAAACCCUGAUGCAGCGACGCCGCGUGGAGGAAGAAGGUCUUCGGAUUGUAAACUCCUGUUGUUGAGGAAGAUAAUGACGGUACUCAACAAGGAAGUGACGGCUAACUACGUGCCAGCAGCCGCGGUAAAACGUAGGUCACAAGCGUUGUCCGGAAUUACUGGGUGUAAAGGGAGCGCAGGCGGGAAGACAAGUUGGAAGUGAAAUCCAUGGGCUCAACCCAUGAACUGCUUUCAAAACUGUUUUUCUUGAGUAGUGCAGAGGUAGGCGGAAUUCCCGGUGUAGCGGUGGAAUGCGUAGAUAUCGGGAGGAACACCAGUGGCGAAGGCGGCCUACUGGGCACCAACUGACGCUGAGGCUCGAAAGUGUGGGUAGCAAACAGGAUUAGAUACCCUGGUAGUCCACACCGUAAACGAUGAUUACUAGGUGUUGGAGGAUUGACCCCUUCAGUGCCGCAGUUAACACAAUAAGUAAUCCACCUGGGGAGUACGACCGCAAGGUUGAAACUCAAAGGAAUUGACGGGGGCCCGCACAAGCAGUGGAGUAUGUGGUUUAAUUCGACGCAACGCGAAGAACCUUACCAAGUCUUGACAUCCCUUGACGAUGCUGGAAACAGUAUUUCCUCUCGAACAAGGAGACAGGGGGGCCAGGGUUGUCGCCACCUCCGGCCGGGAAAAUGUGGGUUAAAUCCCCCACCAAGCGCAACCCUUUUUGUCCGUUAUUACCCAAGAGGAUCUUGGCCAGAAUGCCUGUGAAAAAACCAAGAGAGGGGGGGGAGAGGCCAAACUCUACGGCCUUUUAAUUUUGGGUUACCCCGUCACUAAAGGGGUUAAAAAAAGAGACUGCCGUUGACAAAACGGAGGAAGGUGGGGAUGACGUCAAAUCAUCAUGCCCUUUAUGACUUGGGCUACACACGUACUACAAUGGCGUUAAACAAAGAGAAGCAAGACCGCGAGGUGGAGCAAAACUCAGAAACAACGUCCCAGUUCGGACUGCAGGCUGCAACUCGCCUGCACGAAGUCGGAAUUGCUAGUAAUCGUGGAUCAGCAUGCCACGGUGAAUACGUUCCCGGGCCUUGUACACACCGCCCGUC